GGGUCGAUGGCGUAGCUGGUUAUCGCAUCUGUCUAACAUAGUCCUGCACCCUUGUUCACAGAAGGUCCUCAGUUCGAACCUGGGUCGACUCA